AGCAGUAGCCACGGGAAUACGUAGGUGGCAAGCGUUGUCCGGAAUUAUUGGGCGUAAAGCGCGCGCAGGCGGCCUAUCCAGUCUGUCUUAAAAGUUCGGGGCUCAACCCCGUGAUGGGAUGGAAACUAGUAGGCUAGAGUAUCGGAGAGGAAAGCGGAAUUCCUAGUGUAGCGGUGAAAUGCGUAGAUAUAUGGAGGAACACCGGUGGCGAAAGCGGCUCUCUGGCUUGUAACUGACGCUGAGGCUCGAAAGCGUGGGGAGCAAACAGGAUUAGAUACCCCCGUAGUCCCUGUCUCUUAUACA
rnacentral:rRNA from 1 species